rnacentral:lncRNA from 1 species
GUUGUCUCUGUGCCAAUGAUCAGACUAAUGUGCAUAUUAAGUUUUUCCUAGGAUUUUUCUAAGCCUCCACCUUCCCCUUGACAUUUAUGAUAAUUUUCUAAUUUUCCCUAUAUAUGCAAUUUAUUUUAAAUAUCCUAGUAUUUAAUGUCUAGCUCUCAAAAUGGAAAAAAUUUUAAAAGGAUGGGAGGGAAAAAUAGGUGCUGGCCCUUUAAAUAUCCCAGAGAUCACUGGAGAUGGAGGAGAAAGUUCGUUGCAAUCAGGGAGGUGCAAUAAAAAUGGUCCUUGUCUCAUUCUGUGUAUCUCUGUAAUCAAAACAGGCAUUAGCAAUCAGGACACAGAUCCCUGGUGUUUGGAGUACAGCGCCUUUCUCGCUCACUCUUUCUCUCACAGCUGUAUUCAGGUUGCUCCAGGAACAUGUGGACAGCAUCCUGACACGGGUCUGGUGCUCAUGGGCUGAGAGCUGCAACUUUGCUGAGAGCUGAAGAUGAUGGAAAUUAACCACAAUUUAUUGUCCAAGCUUGACCUUGGAAGUUGUAAGUCUUCAAUAAACUCCAGAAUUCCAAAAUAAUUGAGUUGUUGUUUUCUUCUUCAAGCUAACCUUGUCUUUUUCCCCAGUUUCCAGGGAUUCCUCUUGGUUU